rnacentral:rRNA from 1 species
UAGCAAAUCUCUUAAAGCCGUUCUCAGUUCGGAUUGUAGGCUGCAACUCGCCUACAUGAAGUCGGAAUCGCUAGUAAUCGCGGAUCAGCAUGCCGCGGUGAACACGUUCCCGGGCCUUGUACACACCGCCCGUCACACCAUGGGAGUUUGUAACGCCCAAAGUCGGUGGCCUAACCUUUAUGGAGGGAGCCGCCUAAGGCGGGACAGAUGACUGGGGUGAAGUCGUAACAAGGUAGC